UUUUUUUUGUGUAGUUCUUUUCUUAAUUACUAGUACAUGUUUUGUCGUUUGUGUUACGCCGCUAUGAUAUUUAGUUACGAAAAAAAGAUGGUAAAAGUUUAGACAUCAAUAAUCACAAAGUUUAUCAUUAAUCAUCAAAU
rnacentral:sRNA from 1 species